AAGACAUUAGGGGAUUAAAAAUGAGAAAAAGAAAAAUGCGAGUGGAGAAGGAAAUGGAAGCCCCAACCAUUGAAUUAAUUUCGAUUGAAAUAAACAGGGAGGUAGGGACAAGGCAGAGGAAGGAGAGAGGUUAGAAGGUGUGUCAGCUGCAGCCAUGGUGCGUUGGUUUGGCUCAGCACCUAGAUUCGGAAAUCAAGAUUUUCUCUUGCUUUCAGGCAAAACCCUGAGGCUUGGAGAGAAGCCCUUUUGUGAGAGUCUGUCUUACCCUUUGUGACAUAAAGUGCCCAGGGCGAAUUGUCAGCCUUCAGAUCUAACAAAAGUGUCCCGGAAAGCUUGACAGAAGUGAACAGUCCUUGGUGAUUUGUGGUCCCUGUUUGUUUCUGCUCAGCAGCUUGCCAAGGCCCUGUGCUGCUCUCUGCCUCCAGGAAAGGAAAGCUGAGGAGCCCAUGUGGCUCUGUAAGAUUGCUUAUUUUUGCUAUUCUGGCUGGAAUUAAUGUCUUUUGAUAUUUUCUUUUAUACGUCUCAAUUAGCAUCACCAACUUCCUGAAGAACCUGCUCAUUUUCACAAACUCAUUUGAACUCCAGAUCAUAGAACACACCCACACCUUGUGACUUCUCCUGCCCUGUGGACUGAGUCUAGACUGCUAUGGAAUAUUAUUUUAAGGUUUCCCCAUCAUGAUCUUGAUGCACUUGCUCAUCUCUCUUGGAUUGGACUCCUGGAGCUCAGCCUGGUGUUUGGCUGUGGAUCUCUGUAUCUGCUUCCAGUAACUCUAUGAUGACAGUUAGGAUAUUCACCAUUCUGAUUACUGGGAUGGAAGCUAAACUGAGGACUAGAAAAUGGCACAAUAUCAUGCUACUCCAGAACAAAGAAAACUCUGAAAAUUACAUAUUUCUAGGCAUAUUUCAAGCAUUUGAGAGACUGAAAAUCAAUUGACUGAUUACUUAAAAGCUAAAAUGACACAUGUCCUGUGUAGCAAUCACCAUGGUUGUAUGAAGACCCAAUUCUUUCAAUUCAGUUUAAUUUUUCUUUUUGAAAAAGUAUGUGCUUUUUAGACAAAUAAAAGACCUAAGAAAAAUAAAUCAAAAGCAAAACUUUUGUUUCAAUUUUACAUGACAUUAUUAAUGACAAAGGAAGAUGAUGGGUGUGGAUCAGACAUCUGGGAGCUGUUCCAGACAUAUGGAUUUAACAGUCAAUAAGCCUUUAAAAUGUUUAUUACAUGUGACUAGUCCAUCUACCCAACUUAUUGGUCUUUCUCUUAAUUAUAUUUUCUGGCAGCUCAUAUGUUCAGAAAAGGAAUUUAAACAGCCUAAGAAAAUGUAAGUCUGUUUUGAUUGAACAUGGAUACUGUUUGGAUAAUGACAUUGAGAGGCAGGGUUCUGGCUUGCAAUGUCUAAUCUUUUCCACAUAAGGGAGUGGA